rnacentral:tRNA from 1 species
GGGCGAUUAGCUCAGUUGGUUAGAGCACCUGCCUUACAAGCAGGGGGUCACAGGUUCGAGUCCUAUAUCGCCCACCA